rnacentral:sRNA from 1 species
GAGCGUUUCGCUUUCACAGGCGUCGCUGUGCCUGAACAAUAAUCAACACAGCAGCGGCGUUACCUUUUCCCUGGUGUUGGCGCAGUCUUCGCGCACCCCGGUUUACCG